CAACAAGAAUUUUUGAAACAAGGAGUAUUUCAUUUUUUUAAUCUAAAGCCAUUUGAAGGAACAAUUCACUCAGAAGAAACAGAGACAAAUUACUGCUGAUGAUGAAGGUGGAACAAACAAAUCUACUCAUGUACACGCAGAAGGCGCAUAAAAACGUACUGACUCUCAUUUUCUACAUGGUUAAACCAAAACGCAUAAGAAUAAGUAAAUGGUAUGUUCCUGUAUUUUAAAGUUUAUCUAAAAAAAACAGUGAAAGUAGUCAUUUCCAUUUGUUUCCCUGGCCUCAAGUUACCAUAGUUCAUUGCAAAGUCUUUGUCUAUAAUAAAAUGGUCAUACUAACCCACGGAAUGCUGCGUCUUAGGAACACAGGACAUUUAAAAAUCUGUGUUUUAUACUAAUUCACUUGUGUUCCAAUAAAAAUAACUACGUUGCCAUCUCACAAUAAUAACACAAUAAAUAUACGUCGUUCAUAAUUUUAUUAUGACACUUGCAAUGAAAGCAGUAAGAAACAGUGGAAUUUGCGGGAUAAAAUAAGUGUUUUGGCAUUCUGAUCAAAACAAAUAUUUGCCACACAGUGUAAUAAUAUUUAAAAACCCUAGGGGGGAUUUCUGUAUUUGUUUGCUCAUGUUGAACAAGGUGGCUAGAACAUUA